AGGGUAGGGGAGUACCGGCCCGGACGAAACGGCCGGUAUUAACUACCGCAUACCGUCCGUAAGGGAAGCGGGGGAUCUUCGGACCUCGCGCUAUUGGAGCGGCCGAUGUCGGAUUAGCUAGUAGGUGAGGUAAAGGCUCACCUAGGCGACGAUCCGUAGCUGGUCUGAGAGGAUGAUCAGCCACACUGGGACUGAGACACGGCCCAGACUCCUACGGGAGGCAGCAGUGGGGAAUUUUGGACAAUGGGCGCAAGCCUGAUCCAGCCAUGCCGCGUGAGUGAAGAAGGCCUUCGGGUUGUAAAGCUCUUUCAGGUGGAAAGAAAUAGCGCUGUUUAAUAGAUGGCGUUGAUGACGGUACCACCAGAAGAAGCACCGGCUAACUACGUG
rnacentral:rRNA from 1 species